rnacentral:tRNA from 1 species
GCCUAGUGGUUAAGGCUAUGGAUCGCCAAUCCGGAGAGGGCGGGUUCAAUUCCCGU